UACGGGGGAGCAAGCGUUGUUCGGAUUUACUGGGCGUAAAGGGCGCGUAGGCGGCCACCGCAAGUCGACUGUGAAAUCUCCGGGCUUAACCCGGAAAGGUCAGCCGAUACUGCGGGGCUAGAGUGCAGAAGGGGCAACUGGAAUUCUCGGUGUAGCGGUGAAAUGCGUAGAUAUCGAGAGGAACACCUGCGGCGAAAGGCGGGUUGCUGGGGCUGACACUGACGUGAUGUG
rnacentral:rRNA from 1 species